rnacentral:rRNA from 1 species
GUCAAGUGAAGAAGCGCAUACGGUGGAUGCCUUGGCAGUCAGAGGCGAUGAAAGACGUGACAGCCUGCGAAAAGCGUCGGGGAGGCGGCAAUAUCCUGUGAUCCGGCGAUAUCUGAAUGGGGAAACCCACUUGUCAUAAGACAGGUAUCGUAAAUUUAUUUACGAGGCAAACCGGGAGAAGUGAAACAUCUCAGUAACCCGAGGAAAAGACAUCAAUAGAGAUUCCCCUAGUAGCGGCGAGCGAACGGGGAGGAGCCGACUGAUUAUAAUUUAGAGGAAUGACUUGGAAAGGUCAAUCGUAGAGGGUGAUAAUCCCGUACUCGAAAGGUUAUAAGAAGCAUAUUAAGUAGGGCGGAACACGAGAAAUUCUGUCUGAAGAUGGGGGGACCAUCCUCCAAGGCUAAAUACUCCUGACUGACCGAUAGUGAACCAGUACCGUGAGGGAAAGGCGAAAAGAACCCCGGGAGGGGAGUGAAAUAGAUCCUGAAACCGCAUGCAUACAAGCAGUGGGAGCCGACUUGUUCGGUGACUGCGUACCUUUUGUAUAAUGGGUCAGCGACUUACAUUCAGUGGCAAGGUUAACCGAAUAGGGAAGCCGUAGAGAAAUCGAGUCCGAAUAGGGCGAAUCAGUCGCUGGGUGUAGACCCGAAACCAAGUGAUCUAUCCAUGGCCAGGAUGAAGGUGCCGUAACAGGUACUGGAGGUCCGAACCCACUACUGUUGCAAAAGUAGGGGAUGAGCUGUG